CCUACGGGUGGCAGCAGUGGGGAAUAUUGGUCAAUGGGCGCGAGCCUGAACCAGCCAAGUCGCGUGAAGGAUGAAUGCUCUACGGGUUGUAAACUUCUUUUAUAAGGGAGUAAAGUGAGGCACGUGUGCCUUUUUGUCUGUACCUUAUGAAUAAGCAUCGGCUAACUCCGUGCCAGCAUCCGCGGUAAUACGGAGGAUUCGAGCGUUAUCCGGAUUUAUUGGGUUUAAAGGGGGCGUAGGUGGGUAGUUAAGUCCGCUGGGAAAUUUUGCGGAUCAACCAUAAAAUUGCCAUUGAAACUGGUUGCCUUGAGGACACUUGAGGUAGGCGGAAUGCGUGGUGUAGCGGUGAAAUGCAUAGAUAUCACGCAGAACUCCGAUUGCGAAGGCAGCUUACUAAACUGCAACUGACAGUGAUGCACGAAAGGGUGGGGAUCAAACAGGAUUAGAUACCCGAGUAGUC
rnacentral:rRNA from 1 species